rnacentral:rRNA from 1 species
ACGAAUGCAGCUGAAGUGGCUCCGUAUCAGGUUCAGGGGACGUCGGAGGACGUGUCGGCUUUCGGCAAGAUGUCGUCGGUCGAGACGGUCCUGCGACCAGUCUGCAGUCCUGUGGGGAGCCGGCCAACAGCAGUUGCCCCCAGCCCAGAAGGUCGGUCGGGAGGUGCCUCUGCACUCGUGCAGAGAACGUACAGCCGUUCGUCCGGCGGUCCGGGGACGACUGAGGAGAGUCGUGAAUUUUCACGCGUGCAGCGCAGGCCCUUGAGUGGGCCGGGUCGCCUCUGUUCGUUUGGGCCCCGCGGUGGGGACUGCUUGCAGUGUCUGCUGACGGUCAGUCCGCUCGGUCGGGGGGUCGGCCACGCCGUGCGCUCAGGUUGUUGGUGCUCAAAUGGCUGCAUCCGA